GCUCACAGCCCCACGCGAGCGCCUCCCAGGUGUGUGCGUGCCCAGCAAGCUUGGACGGGGUGAAGCAUUGGCAGGGAGGACAGUGCUGGCACGGAGUGAACACGAACUUUCAUACCAAGUCUAGAGAACAUACAUGAGUUUAGAAAAUAAACAAACCAGACAGACAGAUUUACAUUUGGCAAAAUGAUGUGAAACACAAAUGGACAGAUGGAAGCCAGGCCAGGCCUAACUGGCAGGAGGCUGGCCCCGUGGUCAACGCUCCCUCC
rnacentral:lncRNA from 1 species